rnacentral:lncRNA from 1 species
UCUCCAUUUUACUCAUAGCGUCAGCAGCAGAGACAAACUCCUCCCACUCCUGGGCUCAGCAACACAACCCAAUGAGGCCGUGGAGGUGGCUACAACAUCCCCAGGUGCUCCCCUCCCAGCCGCCAGGCACAAACACACGCUCCUGCUGCUGAUGGGCCAGCGACGGCUGCUGGUGCUUCUUGCACCCAGCUUAAAAACGAGGGGACUUGGCUGUCAAACAGUCUCCAUUGAAGAGAAUUCAGCAUUCUAUAGGCUUUGAGCCAUAGAAAAUAACAAAGGACUGAGAAAUUCCUGGCAGCAGUAGUCACUCGUUACUCAGGGUAUCCCAGCUGUGCUCUCUCCUCACCGGGCUAAAACCAUGGGCCCUGUAAUGCAUUGUGGAUCCCGACUCUUCUGCUUCAGGUCUGCCAGCCGGGGCAGUCGCUGGAUCCACAGCUCCCCACCUAAGGACAAGGUGGGACUGCUGGAAACAAUCAUUGGAUUCUCAGCAUUUUCACUGGCACUUCUGGGACCAGCGGGAUGGUUCCUGUGCCACCUUUCAAGCUAUAAAAAGAAAUAGAAAACAUCCCUUAAAAAUUAAGAUCUAAAGGCUACAAUUAAUGGUAAUACUCCAAAUUUGGACUCUCUUGAAAAUCCCUGUUCCCACACUGUCAGCCAUCCCAUGGACCAGGUCCCAGAAAGCUUUUACAGAUACUGUAGACCUGCACCCAGAUAUACAAUGGUGUAGUGAUACAAAAUAGUGGCAGGUCUGCUCUGCCACCCCCUGCUGCGUUGGGCCAGCCUGGAUCUGUCAUCAAGUGCUGCGAGAAGUGGAAGAUUGAUGAGGAGGACUGUAAACACACUCAAGUGACUUGCAGUUUGGCUGUUGAAAAACACAUAUAUCAUACUAAUUGUUGUUUGACGUUGUGUUUUAGGCAAGUUGAACAUCUGUGGCUAGGAAACAUAGGCCUGUGGUAGACUUAGAGGCGCCCUAUCAAACAUGCUUGAGAAUCUUGCCCUCCUGCGGGCAAGAUUAAAGCACAGUGGUAAAUUAUACUUGUGUGAAUCCCUGAAAUGCAGGAAAAAACAGCAGGUUUGCUGAUCCUCCACCAUGGACCAAGCUUUGCAGUGCCUGUGUUCCCACUUGUGUGCUUUUCCUGUCUGCUUCUUUGGUGAUCCCUGGUCGGUGAGAUAAGAAAAAUGAGUUUGCUCUUUGCCUUUCAUCCAUGGUUUUGUCAUUGUUUGAGUCCUGUUUGCACCAGCUCAUACAGGUACCAUCAAAAGUUUAAAGUAAAUAAAGAGGAAAAAAUACAGAAAAAAAAUUUAUAG